UGCCAGCAGCCGCGGCAAUACGGAGGGUGCGAACGUUAAUCGGAAUUACUGGGCGUAAAGCGCGCGUAGGCGGAUCGUUAAGUGGGAUGUGAAAGCCCUGGGCUCAACCUAGGAAUUGCAUUGCAAACUGGCGGUCUAGAGUACGGUAGAGGGAGGUGGAAUUUCCUGUGUAGCGGUGAAAUGCGUAGAUAUAGGAAGGAACACCAGUGGCGAAGGCGGCCUCCUGGACUGAUACUGACGCUGAGGUGCGAAAGCGUGGGUAGCAAACAGGAUUAGAUA
rnacentral:rRNA from 1 species